GAUGAACGCUCGCUACAGGCUUAACACAUGCAAGUCGAGGGGCAGCAUGGUCUUAGCUUGCUAAGGCCGAUGGCGACCGGCGCACGGGUGAGUAACACGUAUCCAACCUGCCGUCUACUCUUGGACAGCCUUCUGAAAGGAAGAUUAAUACAAGAUGGCAUCAUGAGUCCGCAUGUUCACAUGAUUAAAGGUAUUCCGGUAGACGAUGGGGAUGCGUUCCAUUAGAUAGUAGGCGGGGUAACGGCCCACCUAGUCUUCGAUGGAUAGGGGUUCUGAGAGGAAGGUCCCCCACAUUGGAACUGAGACACGGUCCAAACGCCUACGGGAGGCAGCAGUGAGGAAUAUUGGUCAAUGGGCGCAGGCCUGAACCAGCCAAGUAGCGUGAAGGAUGACUGCCCUAUGGGUUGUAAACUUCUUUUAUAAAGGAAUAAAGUCGGGUAUGUAUACCCGUUUGCAUGUACUUUAUGAAUAAGGAUCGGCUAACUCCGUG
rnacentral:rRNA from 1 species